AACAAGCAAGUUCCCUCCACU
rnacentral:miRNA from 1 species